rnacentral:rRNA from 1 species
CCUACGGGUGGCAGCAGUGAGGAAUAUUGGUCAAUGGGCUUACGCCUGAACCAGCCAAGUCGCGUGAGGGAAGACUGCCCUAUGGGUUGUAAACCUCUUUUGUCAGGGAGCAACGCCGGCUACGUGUAGCCGGACUGAGAGUACCUGAAGAAAAAGCAUCGGCUACCUCCGUGCCCGCAGCCGCGGUAAUACGGAGGAUGCGAGCGUUAUCCGGAUUUAUUGGGUUUAAAGGGUGCGUAGGCGGAAUGCCAAGUCAGCGGUAAAAUCGCGGGGCAAAACCUCGCUCCGCCGUUGAAACUGGCAUGCUUGAGUGGGUGAGAAGUAUGCGGAAUGCGUGGAGUAGCGGUGAAAUGCAUAGAUAUCACGCAGAACUCCGAUUGCGAAGGCAGCAUACCGGCGCCCAACUGACGCUGAAGCACGAAAGCGUGGGGAUCGAACAGGAUUAGAUACCCGAGUAGUC